UCUUAUCCAGAGAGGCGGAGGGACUGGCCCUACGAAGCCCGGCAACCACUAAAAUUAUUAUAGAUUUUAGACGGUGCCAAUUCCAGCAGGUUUAACCUGGUAGAUAAGA
rnacentral:ncRNA from 1 species